rnacentral:rRNA from 1 species
UACGUAGGGGGCUAGCGUUGUCCGGAAUCAUUGGGCGUAAAGAGCGUGUAGGCGGCCCGGUAAGUCCGCUGUAAAAGUCAAAGGCUCAACCUUUGAAUGUCAGUGGAUACUGCCGGGCUAGAGUCCGGAAGAGGCGAGUGGAACUCCUGGUGUAGCGGUGGAAUGCGCAGAUAUCAGGAAGAACACCAACGGCGAAGGCAGCUCGCUGGACGGUACUGACGCUGAGACGCGAAGCGUGGAGCAACAGG